GUGGGGAAUAUUGCGCAAUGGGCGAAAGCCUGACGCAGCGACGCCGCGUGAGGGAUGAAGGUUUUCGGAUCGUAAACCUCUGUCAGAAGGGAAGAAACUACAUUGUGCUAAUCAGCAGUGUACUGACGGUACCUUCAAAGGAAGCACCGGCUAACUCCGUGCCAGCAGCCGCGGUAAUACGGAGGGUGUAAGCGUUAAUCGGAAUUACUGGGCGUAAAGCGCACGUAGGCUGUAGUGUAAGUCAGGGGUGAAAUCCCACGGCUCAACCGUGGAACUGCCUUUGAUACUGCACAACUUGAAUCCGGGAGAGGGUGGCGGAAUUCCAGGUGUAGGAGUGAAAUCCGUAGAUAUCUGGAGGAACAUCAGUGGCGAAGGCGGCCACCUGGACCGGUAUUGACGCUGAGGUGCGAAAGCGUGGGGAGCAAACAGGAUUAGAAACCCUGGUAGUCC
rnacentral:rRNA from 1 species